GACGAACGCUGGCGGCGUGCUUAACACACGCAAGUCGAACGGAAAGGCCCUGCUUUUGUGGGGUGCUCGAGUGGCGAACGGGUGAGUAACACGUGAGUAACCUGCCCUUGACUUUGGGAUAACUUCAGGAAACUGGGGCUAAUACCGGAUAGGAGCUCCUGCUGCAUGGUGGGGGUUGGAAAGUUUCGGCGGUUGGGGAUGGACUCGCGGCUUAUCAGCUUGUUGGUGGGGUAGUGGCUUACCAAGGCUUUGACGGGUAGCCGGCCUGAGAGGGUGACCGGCCACAUUGGGACUGAGAUACGGCCCAGACUCCUACGGGAGGCAGCAGUGGGGAAUAUUGCACAAUGGGCGGAAGCCUGAUGCAGCAACGCCGCGUGUGGGAUGACGGCCUUCGGGUUGUAAACCGCUUUCGCCUGUGACGAAGCGUGAGUGACGGUAAUGGGUAAAGAAGCACCGGCUAACUACGUG
rnacentral:rRNA from 1 species